GUUGGCCUAGUGGUUAGAACGUCCGCCUGGAAUGCGUGAGCACGUGGUUUCGAUCCCCGUUCGAGAAAUA